CUAUCGGUCUUACUAAUAAAAAAUCACUAUACAUGCGUUAUAACAAGGUGAUAGUAAUUCAGUGAAUAGAGCUUGUACAGGGCAUAAACACCUCUUUGACCAAUAAUCGAUGUGUAUUGGUUGAAUAACAAAACGACCCUUAUUUACUGUUACCCUGGCAACCCACCGUGUUUGAUUGACGUUUGAUUUAAUAAUUCUGAUACAACUCAUAAUUCUAAUCUAAUAGAAACUCCAAAACCUCAGACAAAGAGGACUAGAAUUUUACAUAAAAAGCCGCGUUCUGCAGUACAAAAGUUAGAAGAGGAUAGUAUCAAUGUGAUAGAGAAAGGACUAUUUCAUUCAAAACCCCUCAACGAUCAUACUUAAAUUUUUAAGAUCAUCUCAAAUAGUGGAAAGUGCCAAACUCCGCAACACGGUAGUGUUCCAGUGUUUGCAGGAAGAGCACGAAA